UGUGGGGUGUGUGUGUGUGUGUGUGUGUGUGUGUGUAAAAGAACCAAGGGGUGGGGAGAAGGGCAUAUAAUUAAAAAGCUUGAGCAGGACUGGGAUAUAGUUCAGUGAUAGAGCACUCACCCAGCAUAUGAGAGGCACUACACACACACACACACACACACACACACUCACACA
rnacentral:miRNA from 1 species